rnacentral:rRNA from 1 species
UACGGAGGGUGCAAGCGUUAUCCGGAUUCACUGGGUUUAAAGGGUGCGUAGGAGGGCAGGGAAGUCAGUGGUGAAAUCUCCGGGCUUAACUCGGAAACUGCCGUUGAUACUCUCUGUCUUGAAUCCCGUGGAGGUGAGCGGAAUAUGUCAUGUAGCGGUGAAAUGCUUAGAUAUGACAUAGAACACCAAUUGCGAAGGCAGCUCGCUGCACGAAGAUUGACUCUGAGGCACGAAAGCGUGGGGAUCAAACAGG